CCUACGGGAGGCAGCAGUAGGGAAUUUUCGGCAAUGGGGGGAACCCUGACCGAGCAACGCCGCGUGAACGAAGAAGUUAUUCGUAAUGUAAAGUUCUUUUAACAGGGAAGAAAGAGAAAUUUGACGGUACCUGAUGAAUAAGCCCCGGCUAACUACGUGCAGCAGCCGCGGUAAUACGUAGGGAGCGAGCGUUAUCCGGAAUUAUUGGGCGUAAGGGGUGCGUAGAUGGCAUAGUAAGUCUUUUGUAAAAAUGCUGGGCUCAACCCAGUAGGGCAAAAGAUACUGCAAAGCUAGAGUAUGACAGAGGCAAGUGGAACUACAUGUGUAGCGGUAAAAUGCGUAAAUAUAUGUAAGAACACCAGUGGCGAAGGCGGCUUGCUGGGUCGAUACUGACAUUGAGGCACGAAAGCGUGGGGAGCAAACAGGAUUAGAUACCCGUGUAGUC
rnacentral:rRNA from 1 species